GCCGCUAUUUUGCUAAUCGAUAUGAGCCGUGACUUUUUAUGGCCCCCCCCUCAGACAUCGUCUGGAUCCGCCCCUGCUUCCUCUGAACUCGCUCAAUGGCAGUAAGAUGCGUUGCAUAAAUUGGGAACCAAAUCAUGUUAGCGUACUCCAACCUACUGAGAACAAGUGAAAAGUAGACAUUUCUGAGAGCAGACAGAUCGUCUAGCUCACGGAAGCUCCUGAAAGACUUACAGGCAGAUGAACACAGAUCCUCAACAUGUGGAACAAAACUCAGCUCACUGUCAAACCAAACUCCCAGGUCACGAAAGCGAUCUCAAGCCGCAAUAAAAUCACCACCAAUGUGAUAAUCGAAAGCUAGUGGCAGCGUCUUCCUUGUGAAAGUAACUUUAACAUUCCGCAAGCACCAACCUUGAACCAACUCCAAACUUGACUGAAGAAGUAAUUGGUCAUUAAUUCCAUGUAUUCUCAUGAACAGCUUCAGAUCAUCAGCAUAGGUUAGAGCCUCACAAUUGAGAGAGCAUCAAAGGUCAUCAAUGAAUAUUAAAAACAUAAUGAAAUAAGCGAACCUUUCCUUGAUAAAGUGAUUCUAAAGAUCAGUCAGCAAUUUUCCCAUCUAGUGAAGGAUGUUUUGAAAAGCAAAAAUAUCUCAUCCUUGGAGGAGCCUUCAUCGUAUACAUCAGAAACAAUGACCGAUGAGAUGAAGAUUCGAUAACAAAUCAAAUAAGACAUCAUAUACUUAUUUUCAAAGUUACAACCAGUUACAUCAUCAAUUGAUGGCGAAGAAGCUUUAAAUCAGCUUGAAAAGAAUAUUUCUAUUUGAUAUAGAUUCUAUUGUUAAUAUAUUUCUUGUUGUGUUAUGUUGAUAAAAUGAAUAUUUUAAUACUGCU